rnacentral:rRNA from 1 species
UACAGAGGUCCCGAGCGUUGUUCGGAUUCAUUGGGCGUAAAGGGUGCGUAGGCGGCGGGGAAAGUCUGAUGUGAAAUCCUGGGACUCAACCCUGGAACUGCAUUGGAUACUUCCUUGCUAGAGUACUGGAGAGGAAACUGGAAUUUACGGUGUAGCAGUGAAAUGCGUAGAGAUCGUAAGGAAGACCAGUGGCGAAGGCGAGUUUCUGGACAGUUACUGACGCUGAGGCACGAAGGCCAGGGGAGCAAACGGG